CUGAAAUCAGGCGGGAUUACC
rnacentral:rRNA from 1 species